ACGCCCGUCGCAGCGAAGCGAGACGGGCGCCUUCUAAGCGCUUGGCCGCAGGUUCGAGUCCUGCCGGGGGCG
rnacentral:tRNA from 1 species